AUAAUCAUGGAGUAUAAUAAUUAAAUUUAAUAAAUUUAAUAUAACUAUUAAUAGAAUUAGGUUACUAAUAAAUUAAUAACAAUUAAUUUUAAAACCUAAAGGUAAACCUUUAUAUUAAUAAUGUUUUUUUUUAUUAUUUUUAUAAUAAGAAUAAUUAUUAAUAAUAAUAAACUAAGUGAACUGAAACAUCUAAGUAACUUAAGGAUAAGAAAUCAACAGAGAUAUUAUGAGUAUUGGUGAGAGAAAAUAAUAAAGGUCUAAUAAGUAUUAUGUGAAAAAAAUGUAAGAAAAUAGGAUAACAAAUUCUAAGACUAAAUACUAUUAAUAAGUAUAGUAAGUACCGUAAGGGAAAGUAUGAAAAUGAUUAUUUUAUAAGCAAUCAUGAAUAUAUUAUAUUAUAUUAAUGAUGUACCUUUUGUAUAAUGGGUCAGCAAGUAAUUAAUAUUAGUAAAACAAUAAGUUAUAAAUAAAUAGAAUAAUAUAUAUAUAUAAAAAAAUAUAUUAAAAUAUUUAAUUAAUAUUAAUUGACCCGAAAGCAAACGAUCUAACUAUGAUAAGAUGGAUAAACGAUCGAACAGGUUGAUGUUGCAAUAUCAUCUGAUUAAUUGUGGUUAGUAGUGAAAGACAAAUCUGGUUUGCAGAUAGCUGGUUUUCUAUGAAAUAUAUGUAAGUAUAGCCUUUAUAAAUAAUAAUUAUUAUAUAAUAUUAUAUUAAUAUUAUAUAAAGAAUGGUACAGCAAUUAAUAUAUAUUAGGGAACUAUUAAAGUUUUAUUAAUAAUAUUAAAUCUCGAAAUAUUUAAUUAUAUAUAAUAAAGAGUCAGAUUAUGUGCGAUAAGGUAAAUAAUCUAAAGGGAAACAGCCCAGAUUAAGAUAUAAAGUUCCUAAUAAAUAAUAAGUGAAAUAAAUAUUAAAAUAUUAUAAUAUAAUCAGUUAAUGGGUUUGACAAUAACCAUUUUUUAAUGAACAUGUAACAAUGCACUGAUUUAUAAUAAAUAAAAAAAAAAUAAUAUUUAAAAUCAAAUAUAUAUAUAUAUAUUUGUUAAUAGAUAAUAUACGGAUCUUAAUAAUAAGAAUUAUUUAAUUCCUAAUAUGGAAUAUUAUAUUUUUAUAAUAAAAAUAUAAAUACUGAAUAUCUAAAUAUUAUUAUUACUUUUUUUUUUAAUAAUAAUAAUAUGGUAAUAGAACAUUUAAUGAUAAUAUAUAUUAGUUAUUAAUUAAUAUAUGUAUUAAUUAAAUAGAGAAUGCUGACAUGAGUAACGAAAAAAAGGUAUAAACCUUUUCACCUAAAACAUAAGGUUUAACUAUAAAAGUACGGCCCCUAAUUAAAUUAAUAAGAAUAUAAAUAUAUUUAAGAUGGGAUAAUCUAUAUUAAUAAAAAUUUUAUCUUAAAAUAUAUAUAUUAUUAAUAAUUAUAUUAAUAAUAUAUAUAAUUAUAUUAUAUAUUUUUUUUAUAUAAUAUAAACUAAUAAAGAUCAGGAAAUAAUUAAUGUAUACCGUAAUGUAGACCGACUCAGGUAUGUAAGUAGAGAAUAUGAAGGUGAAUUAGAUAAUUAAAGGGAAGGAACUCGGCAAAGAUAGCUCAUAAGUUAGUCAAUAAAGAGUAAUAAGAACAAAGUUGUACAACUGUUUACUAAAAACACCGCACUUUGCAGAAACGAUAAGUUUAAGUAUAAGGUGUGAACUCUGCUCCAUGCUUAAUAUAUAAAUAAAAUUAUUUAACGAUAAUUUAAUUAAAUUUAGGUAAAUAGCAGCCUUAUUAUGAGGGUUAUAAUGUAGCGAAAUUCCUUGGCCUAUAAUUGAGGUCCCGCAUGAAUGACGUAAUGAUACAACAACUGUCUCCCCUUUAAGCUAAGUGAAAUUGAAAUCGUAGUGAAGAUGCUAUGUACCUUCAGCAAGACGGAAAGACCCUAUGCAGCUUUACUGUAAUUAGAUAGAUCGAAUUAUUGUUUAUUAUAUUCAGCAUAUUAAGUAAUCCUAUUAUUAGGUAAUCGUUUAGAUAUUAAUGAGAUACUUAUUAUAAUAUAAUGAUAAUUCUAAUCUUAUAAAUAAUUAUUAUUAUUAUUAAUAAUAAUAAUAAUAUGCUUUCAAGCAUAGUGAUAAAACAUAUUUAUAUGAUAAUCACUUUACUUAAUAGAUAUAAUUCUUAAGUAAUAUAUAAUAUAUAUUAUAUAUAUAUUAUAUAUAAUAUAAGAGACAAUCUCUAAUUGGUAGUUUUGAUGGGGCGUCAUUAUCAGCAAAAGUAUCUGAAUAAGUCCAUAAAUAAAUAUAUAAAAUUAUUGAAUAAAAAAAAUAAUAUAUAUUAUAUAUAUUAAUUAUAAAUUGAAAUAUGUUUAUAUAAAUUUAUAUUUAUUGAAUAUAUUUUAGUAAUAGAUAAAAAUAUGUACAGUAAAAUUGUAAGGAAAACAAUAAUAACUUUCUCCUCUCUCGGUGGGGGUUCACACCUAUUUUUAAUAGGUGUUCACCCCUCUUCGGGGUUCCGGUUCCCUUUCGGGUCCCGGAACUUAAAAAUAAUUAUGGAAAGAAUUAAAUUAAUAUAAUGGUAUAACUGUGCGAUAAUUGUAACACAAACGAGUGAAACAAGUACGUAAGUAUGGCAUAAUGAACAAAUAACACUGAUUGUAAAGGUUAUUGAUAACGAAUAAAAGUUACGCUAGGGAUAACAGGGUAAUAUAACGAAAGAGUAGAUAUUGUAAGUUAUGUUUGCCACCUCGAUGUCGACUCAACAUUUCCUCUUGGUUGUAAAAGCUAAGAAGGGUUUGACUGUUCGUCAAUUAAAAUGUUACGUGAGUUGGGUUAAAUACGAUGUGAAUCAGUAUGGUUCCUAUCUGCUGAAGGAAAUAUUAUCAAAUUAAAUCUCAUUAUUAGUACGCAAGGACCAUAAUGAAUCAACCCAUGGUGUAUCUAUUGAUAAUAAUAUAAUAUAUUUAAUAAAAAUAAUACUUUAUUAAUAUAUUAUCUAUAUUAGUUUAUAUUUUAAUUAUAUAUUAUCAUAGUAGAUAAGCUAAGUUGAUAAUAAAUAAAUAUUGAAUACAUAUUAAAUAUGAAGUUGUUUUAAUAAGAUAAUUAAUCUGAUAAUUUUAUACUAAAAUUAAUAAUUAUAGGUUUUAUAUAUUAUUUAUAAAUAAAUAUAUUAUAAUAAUAAUAAUUAUUAUUAUUAAUAAAAAAUAU
rnacentral:rRNA from 1 species